CAAUGAAUCUGAUCGUCAAGAGACAACCAUAAUGAAAACAAGUUGUAUUGCACGUGAUUGUAAGGAACUAUAUGAUCAGGGACAUACCUGCAGUGGAGUGUACACUAUCAAACCUGAUGAACUACCUGCUUUUGAGGUUUAUUGUGAUAUGAGUAAUGGUGGUGGUUAGACUGUAUUUC